rnacentral:rRNA from 1 species
UACGUAGGGUGCGAGCGUUAAUCGGAAUUACUGGGCGUAAAGCGCACGUAGGCGGCUUUCUAAGUCGGGGGUGAAAUCCUGGAGCUCAACUCCAGAACUGCCUCCGAUACUGGAGCUUGAGUCCGGGAGAGGUGAGUGGAACUGCGAGUGUAGAGGUGAAAUUCGUAGAUAUUCGCAAGAACACCAGUGGCGAAGGCGGCUCACUGGCCCGGUACUGACGCUGAGGUGCGAAAGCGUGGGGAGCAAACAGGG